rnacentral:rRNA from 1 species
UGGAGAGUUUGAUCCUGGCUCAGAUUGAACGCUGGCGGCAGGCCUAACACAUGCAAGUCGAGCGGAUGACGGGAGCUUGCUCCUUGAUUCAGCGGCGGACGGGUGAGUAAUGCCUAGGAAUCUGCCUGGUAGUGGGGGACAACGUUUCGAAAGGAACGCUAAUACCGCAUACGUCCUACGGGAGAAAGCAGGGGACCUUCGGGCCUUGCGCUAUCAGAUGAGCCUAGGUCGGAUUAGCUAGUUGGUGGGGUAAUGGCUCACCAAGGCGACGAUCCGUAACUGGUCUGAGAGGAUGAUCAGUCACACUGGAACUGAGACACGGUCCAGACUCCUACGGGAGGCAGCAGUGGGGAAUAUUGGACAAUGGGCGAAAGCCUGAUCCAGCCAUGCCGCGUGUGUGAAGAAGGUCUUCGGAUUGUAAAGCACUUUAAGUUGGGAGGAAGGGCAGUAAGYUAAUACCUUGCUGUUUUGACGUUACCGACAGAAUAAGCACCGGCUAACUCUGUGCCAGCAGCCGCGGUA